CUCCUUCACCGGAAACCGGAACUGUCCCUAGCACGUGACCCCCGCCGACUCGCACAGAAACUUACAAAUCUCUCUCCGAUCUGUCACUUUUCUUCCAAAAAAGAAAUAUCCGAUACUUAACAAAUCCGACAGGAGUAACAAGAGAAGAAGUUUGCCCAAGAAAAAUAAAAUGAGGAAUCCAGUCAGAUACUAGACGUUCAAGAGUUGUUGAAGACUGACCAAACCUGAGUGAGAAGAAAAUGCCAGACUCAAAGGGGUGGUGACAUAGAGGAGUGGGAGGAGAAAGG